UGCUAGUGUGUGCAAUGGUGUCAUCG
rnacentral:piRNA from 1 species